GACGAACCGUGCAAACGUUGUUCGGAUUCACUGGGCUUAAAGGGUGCGUAGGUGGGUUGGUAAGUCAGUGGUGAAAUCUCCAGGCUUAACUUGGAAACUGCCAUUGAUACUAUCAAUCUUGAAUACCGUGGAGGUCAGCGGAAUAUGUCAUGUAGCGGUGAAAUGCUUAGAUAUGACAUAGAACACCAAUUGCGAAGGCAGCUGGCUACGCGGAUAUUGACACUGAUGCAC
rnacentral:rRNA from 1 species